rnacentral:sRNA from 13 species
UUUGAAAGCGAGUUAUGCGCCUUUAAAGUUGGAUGUCAUAGAAUGAGAGGCGGCAGAGAAAACUACUCCCUCUUUCUCUGCGCCUCUCACUCUCUCACCUCCAACUUAAAAGGCACAUAACUCGCGACAAAA